CCAGGCUGUACUUUCCAGAAAGGUAGGUACCAUUAUAGUUACAUCUAUUUUAAGGCAAUACUUACUAUAUGCAUAUUCAUCUCUCUAACAAUAAUUCUUUACACUGUAGGCUUGAGUUUUGUGGGUUUUUUUUUUUUCUCAUUCCAGAGUGAAAGGAAUAAAAUUCGUGAUGUGAGAUUUUUACAAAAGCAGAGUGGAAGAAGCCAAA
rnacentral:lncRNA from 1 species